AGAGUUUGAUCAGUGGCUACGAGGACGAACGCUGGCGGCGUGCUUAACACAUGCAAGUCGAACGGUAAGGCCCUUCGGGGUACACGAGUGGCGAACGGGUGAGUAACACGUGGGUGAUCUGCCCUGCACUUCGGGAUAAGCUUGGGAAACUGGGUCUAAUACCGGAUAGGACCACGGUCUGCAUGGAUUGUGGUGGAAAGCUUUUGCGGUGUGGGAUGGGCCCGCGGCCUAUCAGCUUGUUGGUGGGGUGAUGGCCUACCAAGGCGACGACGGGUAGCCGGCCUGAGAGGGUGUCCGGCCACACUGGGACUGAGAUACGGCCCAGACUCCUACGGGAGGCAGCAGUGGGGAAUAUUGCACAAUGGGCGCAAGCCUGAUGCAGCGACGCCGCGUGGGGGAUGACGGCCUUCGGGUUGUAAACCUCUUUCAGCAGGGACGAAGGGUGACUGACGGUACCUGUAGAAGAAGCACCGGCCAACUACGUG
rnacentral:rRNA from 1 species